rnacentral:rRNA from 1 species
CCUACGGGAGGCUGCAGUGGGGAAUAUUGGACAAUGGGGGAAACCCUGAUCCAGCGACGCCGCGUGAGUGAAGAAGUAUUUCGGUACGUAAAGCUCUAUCAGCAGGAAAGAAAAUGACGGUACCUGACUAAGAAGCCCCGGCUAACUACGUGCCAGCAGCCGCGGUAAUACGUAGGGGGCAAGCGUGAUCCGGAUUUACUGGGUGGAAAGGGAGCGUAGACGGCAGCGCAAGUCUGGAGUGAAAUGCCGGGGCCCAACCCCGGAACUGCUCUGGAAACUGUGAAGCUGGAGUGCAGGAGAGGUAAGCGGAAUUCCUGGUGUAGCGGUGAAAUGCGUAGAUAUCAGGAGGAACACCGGCGGCGAAGGCGGCUUACUGGACUGUAACUGACGUUGAGGCUCGAAGGCGUGGGGAGCAAACAGGAUUAGAUACCCUUGUAGUC